rnacentral:rRNA from 1 species
AGCAGUGCCGCGGUAAUACGGAGGGUGCAAGCGUUAUCCGGAUUUAUUGGGUUUAAAGGGUCCGUAGGCGGAUCUGUAAGUCAGUGGUGAAAUCUCACAGCUUAACUGUGAAACUGCCAUUGAUACUGCAGGUCUUGAGUAAAUUUGAAGUGGCUGGAAUAAGUAGUGUAGCGGUGAAAUGCAUAGAUAUUACUUAGAACACCAAUUGCGAAGGCAGGUCACUAAGAUUUAACUGACGCUGAUGGACGAAAGCGUGGGGAGCGAACAGGAUUAGAUACCCGUGUAGUCCCUGUCUCUUAUACA